GGAGCGGAACCACAGCAAAGCAGUGCCUCCUAUCUCCAGUUCCCCCAGUCAUCUACCUCGCUGCUUCAGCCCCCGUAGUUCUUCCGUAUACCAAGGGGCCAGUUUCAAAGCGGGUUGGAGAGGAAGCUUAGGAGCGAUCGUGUCCACUGCCCUGACUGUAGACCUCACAAAUCGGCUUUCAAAAUUCAAUUAUAAAAUGCAACAUACCAACAAGAAUACAGCUGAAUAAAAACAACCUUAAAACAUCAUUAAAACAGCAGGAAAAAAUUAUUACAAGCAAGGUCAACAGGGGCCAUCCAACACUCUAUCACUGUGAGAGAGACCCGAUCUCCCCCUGCCUUGCUGUGGAUUGUCUCUGCUUCUCAUUUUCAAGUG